UACAGAGGGUGCGAGCGUUAAUCGGAAUUACUGGGCGUAAAGCGUGCGUAGACGGUUAUGUAAGUCGGAUGUGAAAGCCCCGGGCUACACUGGGAAUUGCAUUCGAGACUGCAUAGCUAGGAUGCGGAAGAGGGAAGUGGAAUUUCCGGUGUAGCGGUGAAAUGCGUAGAUAUCGGAAGGAACAUCAGUGGCGAAAGCGACUUCCUGGUCCAGCAUCGACGUUCAGGCACGAAAGCGUGGGGAGCAAACAGG
rnacentral:rRNA from 1 species